AGUGAACGCUGGCGGUAGGCCUAAUACAUGCAAGUCGAACGGACGGACAAUAAGCGUUCGCCUCUGAGGGUGGCGACUGGCGGGUGGGUGAGACAUAGAUAAGCAUCUUAUAAUACGGGGGGAACAUCGGGGGGCAGCAGAUGAUAAUGGCUAAUAUGUUCAACGGGUGGAAGCAGGAGUUAAUCGCACUUUGCGUGACUGAUAGAGAUGAAGCCGGAUUAGCUAGUUGGGGGGGUAAGGGCCCACCAAGGCGACGAGCCGUAGCUGGUCUGAGAGGAUGAUCAGCCACACUGGAACUGAGACACGGUCCAGACUCCUACGGGAGGCAGCAGUGGGGAAUAUUCGACAAUGGGCGCAAGCCUGAUCCAGCCAUACCGCGUGGGUGAUGAAGGCCUUCGGAUUGUAAAACCCUGUUAUUGGGAAAGAAAAACAGCAUGUGAAUACCCCGCUGUUCUGACGGUACCCAAAGAGUAAGCACCGGCUAACUUCGUG
rnacentral:rRNA from 1 species